rnacentral:ncRNA from 1 species
UGAUGGUAGAGGUGCGAACUUCAUUAGUAAAGGUUUGGAGAAGAAUAAGCUUCUGUGAAGAACUUUGAAAGGGGUGUUCGCCGAAGUGGAGAAAGUCUUAUAACUUUCUUUGCUGGGUCUGCAUUUAAGAAAUGCAGGACUGUCAGGACCAAUGUCUUGGAGCGCUAUCU